GCCGAGGUAGCUCAGCGGUAGAGCACCGCACUGAAAAUGCGGGUGUCGGCGGUUCGAUUCCACCCCUCGGCACCA
rnacentral:tRNA from 1 species